UUCCGUAAAAAUCUUAGAUGUGUUUUCGCCCUCCACUCUGGAGACGAAGUCAGACAUACAGCAUAAAAUAUCGAGUUGUGUAAUCUUUGCUGUCAAACUAGAAGGCCCUGCAUAACUAGCUAUUCCUUCACGUGCAAAAAAAGAAGAAACUAAUUGCUUAACAAUGUACUGAGGUUCAGAAUCACUAAGAAAUGAAAAUAUAUCCCAUAUACACUGGCAACACUCAACAUUGUUCUCCAAAUAGAUUUGUACCAGCGUUUCUACGCAUUCAAGAGGUUCACAGAAGUAAAACUCUUUUAAUCCCGAUAAGGAUGCUUCUUUUAAAACCGAUGAAUCAUUCAUAAAUACUUUUGACGUUUUAUCAGCAUAUGAAGACCGAAUAUGCCAUGAAUAUGAUAAAAAUAAUGUUUGCAAAGCAUCCUGCAUAGUUAAAAGCAUAGAUAAUCUCUUGUUGACAUCGAUGCUAACGCCUGACGACUCCGCUGCAAACACACCAGAAAUGACAUUUCCGAUGAUACCAUUGGCUUCUAAAUUACUUUUCUUGGGGCCGGGUGAAUAUGUGAAUUCCAAUAAGGCUGCUGAAACUAACUCGCUAAGCAUUUUCAACUUAGCAAUAAAAACAUCCAUGCACGCAUAAUCUUUUACUGGGUCAGGGUAUUUUAGGUACAUAGACUCGUGUUGGUCAAGAAAUGAAUGAACAAAUUUGCACAAAGAUUGAAUGGGAUUAACCAUCAAAAGUUGAAGGUUUUGUAAAAGAAGAGGUAAAAGCUUCUUUAUAGCAUGUAGCCACUUUGGCGAAAGUCCUGGAUCAUCAUUCAACAUUCCAACCAAAACAAAAUUGGACAACAGAUAAUGCUGUUCAGAGGAAAGAUCUAUAGUCCCAUCUAAUCGAGAGAGUAAAAAUUCUAGCAUUUGCAAAAGACUCAAAAUAAAACUUCGAUAAGUUGAUGAAGGAGAACGCUCAACUUCCUGUACAAGCGCAAACAACCCAACGAUUAG